AAUUAAAAAUUCUAAAUAAGCAAUGUUGCGGUUUUAAACAAGGAUUUAAAUAUCGAGAGUUUGGAAAAUAUUGGUGGUCUAAAAAUACGAAAAUAUCGAUAAAAUGUUGAUAUCGAUAAAAAUUGAAUAAAAAUGAUGAAAAGUGGUAGAAAAACAUAGAAUUUUUUUAUGAAACUUUAGAAGAUGUUCAAUUAAUCAAUUAUCUAUUGUUUUUACACAAUUAUUUUUUGAAAAAAAUGCAUUGUAUGAUGAGUUUGAGUGAUUAUAGUGCG
rnacentral:lncRNA from 1 species